rnacentral:rRNA from 1 species
AUUGAACGCUGGAGGCAGGCCUAACACAUGCAAGUCGAGCGCGCGGCGGACGGGUGAGUAAUGUCUGGGAGAAUGCCUGAUGGGGGGGGAUAACUACUGGAAACGGUAGAUAAUACAGCAUACGAUCAGAUAUGCUCAGAUGGGAUUAGCUAGUAGGUGGGGUAAGGUCUCACCUAGGCGACGAUCCCUAGCUGGUCUGAGAGGAUGACCAGCCACACUGGAACUGAGACACGGUCCAGACUCCUACGGGAGGCAGCAGUGGGGAAUAGUGCACAAUGGGCGCAAGCCUGAUGCAGCCAUGCCGCGUGUGUGAAGAAGGCCUUCGGGUUGUAAAGCACUUUCAGCGGGGAGGCGUUACCCGCAGAAGAAGCACCGGCUAACUCCGUGCCAGCAGCCGCGGUAAUAC